rnacentral:misc_RNA from 1 species
UUUCCGUAGGUGAACCUGCGGAAGGAUCAUUACAGAGCUGCGCCUCUCUCGGGAGCCAUCUCCACCCCUUGACUACCAAAUACUUUUUCUCUGGCGGGGCGCGGCCCUGCCGCCGCCGGCCCCGGCUCGCGAGCGCCCGCCGGAGGAGCUCAAAAUCUUGCUUUCAAUGAGAAUGAUCGAUACAAAAAGUGCGUAAAACUUAAAACAACGUAUCUCUUAAUUCUAGCAUCGUUGAAGAACGCAACAGAUCGGAACGGGAAACGUCUGAACUCCCAGCAC